rnacentral:rRNA from 1 species
CUACCAUGCAGUCGAGCGGCAGCGACACAUUGAACCUUCGGGGGAUUUGUUGGGCGGCGAGCGGCGGACGGGUGAGUAAUGCCUGGGAAAUUGCCCUGAUGUGGGGGAUAACCAUUGGAAACGAUGGCUAAUACCGCAUGAUAGCUUCGGCUCAAAGAGGGGGACCUUCGGGCCUCUCGCGUCAGGAUAUGCCCAGGUGGGAUUAGCUAGUUGGUGAGGUAAGGGCUCACCAAGGCGACGAUCCCUAGCUGGUCUGAGAGGAUGAUCAGCCACACUGGAACUGAGACACGGUCCAGACUCCUACGGGAGGCAGCAGUGGGGAAUAUUGCACAAUGGGCGCAAGCCUGAUGCAGCCAUGCCGCGUGUAUGAAGAAGGCCUUCGGGUUGUAAAGUACUUUCAGCAGUGAGGAAGGGGGUAUCGUUAAUAGCGGUACUCUUUGACGUUAGCUGCAGAAGAAGCACCGGCUAACUCCGUGCCAGCAGCCGCGGUAAUACGGAGGGUGCGAGCGUUAAUCGGAAUUACUGGGCGUAAAGCGCAUGCAGGUGGUUUGUUAAGUCAGAUGUGAAAGCCCGGGGCUCAACCUCGGAAUUGCAUUUGAAACUGGCAGGCUAGAGUACUGUAGAGGGGGGGUAGAAUUUCAGGUGUAGCGGUGAAAUGCGUAGAGAUCUGAAGGAAUACCGGGUGGCGAAGGCGGCCCCCUGGACAGAUACUGACACUCAGAUGCGAAAGCGUGGGGAGCAACAGGAUUAGAUACCCUGUAGUCCACGCCGUAAACGAUGUCUACUUGGAGGUUGUGGCCUUGAGCCGGUGGCUUUCGGAGCUAACGCGUUUAAGUAGACCGCCUGGGGGAGUAC